UACGAAGGGGGCUAGCGUUGCUCGGAAUCACUGGGCGUAAAGCGCACGUAGGCGGAUUGUUAAGUCAGGGGUGAAAUCCUGGAGCUCAACUCCAGAACUGCCUUUGAUACUGGCGAUCUUGAGUCCGGGAGAGGCGAGUGGAACUGCGAGUGUAGAGGUGAAAUUCGUAGAUAUUCGCAAGAACACCAGUGGCGAAGGCGGGUCUCUGGACAGUUCCUGACGCUGAGGCACGAAGGCCAGGGAGCAAACGGG
rnacentral:rRNA from 1 species